UUGGAGCGCCCUGGCUGCGGCCAAGGCCAACAGCGGGCGCCGGAAGGCGGGAUUUCCGCCGCACGCACGCACUCCCGCACUCCCACGGGAGACUGCUUGGCCCGGAGCGCUCUUGAUCACGCCGCGGCGGGUGGUGGCGCUCACACUAACUAUAGCUAUCCAGGGCGCGGGUCGAGUGGCGAGACCAGCUCCCCUGGGUAUGAGAACGCAUCUUUGUGCGGUCGGCUGGCUGGGGCCUGAAGAGCUUCCUCCUGUGUGUUCAACUGAACGCAGCAAAAGUCUUGGGCAGAUUCCAUGGAGCAGCUGUGGAAGCACUGUGCAGGGAAUCGAAGAAGGAAACACCUCCAGCGACCACAAAACAAAAUUGAAGAACUAUAAAACAAUAUAGGCCGGGCGUGGUGGCUCACAGCAUUGCUUGGUCAUCGUGUUCUGAGUGGUCCAUUGGCCUCCAUGUCCCUUUUGGGGUGGAUAUUUGCUCAGUGACUUUUGAGCAGCUGGAUCUCCUGCUUCGGCAGGUCUGGGCAGCGUCUUCCUGAACAGCCUGAAGCAGAAGGUGGUGACCCUGGCAAGCAGCGCAGACGUGCUGAGCACCGUGCAGUCGGCCUCCCAGGCCAUGCUGCAGAGCGGCUGGUCCAUGCUGUUGCCCACCGCUGAGAAGCAGGCCCGGGCACUCUGCUCUCCUGUCCUGUGGAGACUUUCUAUUUCAGUUUCAGGCAAUGAAGUGAACAUAAGUCCAGGUCAUCGAUUGGUGAUUGAUCUUCUGGUGGGCAGCUUGAUGGCUGAUGGAGGGUUGGAGUCAGCCUUACACGCAGCCAUUACUGCAGAGAUCCAGGAUACAAAAAAAGAAGCACGGAAGGAAAAAGAAAUUUAUGAACAGGAGGCAAAUGCCUCAACAUUUCAUAGAAGGAGGACUCCAUUGGAUAAAGACCUUAUUAAUACGGGGAUCUGUGAGUCUUCUGGCAAACAGUGUUUGCCUCUGGUUCAGCUCAUACAACAGCUUCUUAGGUAAAUCAUAUUAGCUGUAUUGUAUUGUGUUUUAUUUAUUUACUUUUUUUUUUUUGAGACAGAGUUUCGCUCUUGUUGCCCAGGCCGGAGUGCAGUGGUGCGAUCUUGACUCACUGCAACCUCCGCCUCCCAGGUUCAAGUAAUUCCUCUGCCUCAGCCUCUCGAGCAGCUGGGAUUACAGGCAUGCGCCACCAUGCCCCACUAAUUUUGUAGUUUUAUUAGAGACAGGGUUUCUUCAUGUUGGUCAGGCCGGUCUUGAACUCCCGACCUCAGGUGGUCCAUCCACUUUGGCCUCCCAAAAUGUUGGGAUUACAGGCAUUAGCCACCACGCCUGGCCUAUUUAUUUACUUAUUAAUGGUGUUUUUUGUUUUUUGUUUUUUUUUUGAGAUGGAGUCUUGCUCUAUCGUCCAGGCUGGAGUGCAGUGUCACGAUCUUGGCUCACUGCAACCCCCGCCUCCUGGGUUCAAGCUAUUCUCCUGCCUCAGCCUCCCGAGUAGCUGGGACUACAGGCGUCUGCAACCACACCUGGCUGAUUUGUGUAUUUUUAGUAGAGAUGGGGUUUUACCAUAUUGGUCAGGCUGGUCUCAAAUUCCUGACGUCAGGUGACCCACCUGCCUUGGCCUCUCAAAAUGUUGGGAUUACAGGUGUUAGCCACUGUUCCCGGCCUGUAUUGUAUUUUAAUAGGUGAUUAUUGGUUUUCAUAUUAAGAUAGUGAAAUCUAGCGCAAGGGUCUCAAAAAUUUGUUUGAUGAUUGAAGGAAUAUUCUGAAAAUUACCUAGUAUAGAUGUUAGGAUAAAGAGCAGACCCUUCUCAAUAUAGGUGAGAGGAGAAGUUGGAGGGUGUGAUGAUACUCAGAAGUUUUUCACAGAAGAGAAAUUGGGGCGUGCAGUAAACAUGUAAAAAGAUUCUUACUAAUAAGCAGGUAGGUGCGAAUGAAAAUCAUCAUGGAAGGUUAUUUUUAAAACUGGUUCUAUCAUUGCCUCACUUUACAUAUUACAGAGUUGUACCUACUACUUUGUAAGAUAACUUUUCUUUUCAAAACUGAAGUCAAUGUGAUAGAAUGGUGAGCAUUAUUUUGGAAGGCCAGACUAGGAGGAGGUGGGAGGAGGAAGUCAGACUCAGCCUGUGAACAGACGCUAACCUUGGCAGAAGCCAAAACAGUCAGACAGUGUUGUGUAAAAAUGAUCAUUCAAGAAGAGCGAAACAGCAAGGUGAUUUGUGAAAGAGAUUUAUUAGAAAAUGAAACACAUUUAUACCUCUGUUCAAUAAAAAUCUGCUUUUCGUCAA